GGGAAGGAAAAAAGCGUACCAAGGUUUCGGUAGGGGACCUUGGGGAAGGUCCAUUAAAAAGGCGGCGGAGCUUGUUUUUUUUGAAUGAGUCGAGGUCAAAAUUUUAUCUUGUGCACUGUCUUAUUUUUUUGGCUGCAGUUAGAUUUAUUUCUUCCUCGGUCAAAUUGACUGGGCAAUUUGCUCUUUCCUUUGGGAUAGAGUCGAAUUUCCCGGUGUUAUUAUACUAUUCUGACUGAACCAAAACAGAAAAUUGUUUAAUCUUAAUAACAACUUUCAGCAAUGGAUCUCUCGGCUUUCGUAUCGAUGAAGAACGCAGCAAAUCGCGAUAUGUAGUGUGAUCUGCCUAUAGUGAAUCAUCAAAUUUUUGAACGCAUCUUGCACCCUUGGGUAUUCCUGAGGGUACGCCUGUUUCAGUAUCAUUUUAACUUCUUUCCCCAGAAAUGGGCCAAGAAAAAUCACGACUGGCCUUGGUAUUGGAUUCUGAAUCCAUUUCUCGGCUGAAAUACAGCUAGUGUUUUGACUGGUAGUUACCUUUUGGUAGAAUCUACUAAUAAAGUACGCCUAGCCAUCAUUACACUGCGAGUGAGUCAUAUCACUCCACCCCAAUUUCUUGAUCUGAAAUCAGGCGG
rnacentral:rRNA from 1 species